GGGAGAGAGGUCUGCCCUUCUGGUCCGGCAGCCGCCAGACUCACGAGAACGGACCGUACAGCAAGUUCAGGACGGAGCUGAGUGACGUGUGGUCCAUUUCCAGCGCCAACAUCCGGACCGACGUACGGAGCAUGCCCAGUUCAACCAGCAACCCCCACCUGCCCCCCAUCACAGAGGAGUGACGGGGGGCAGAGAGAGAGAGAGAGAGAGAGAGAGAGAAUGAUGAGUGGAGGAAGAGUGUUGGAAACUUUACUUUAUGAAAUUUUUAAGUUUUGGUCAAUAUUUGUGACAAAAUAAGCAACAGAUCCAAUUGAAUAGGAGCGUUCUUUAAUAGUUUAGAUCUAUGACACCACUUAACAAUAAAGCCUUUGUGGUGAUAAAAGCUCAGAAAUGUGCAAAUAACCAAAACGUCUGUCUUUGACAGUUCGUAGAGUGAAAUUAUCACACAUAUUAAGAAGCUAAAUUGAUCAAAUGUGUUUGGAUAAAUGUGUGAAAGAUGAGGCUUCAAAAAACGGCAUUUAGAAAUCACAUUUAUUUUCAUCUGCUGACACUUGCUGAACUUCAGAGGUACAACGCAGGCAGCAGCUUUUUGUGACUUGAACAAUUCGACUGGUCUCUCUCCCCCUGGUCUCUCUCCCCCUGGUCUCUCUGUCUCUCUCCCCCUGGUCUCUCUCCCCCUGGUCUCUCUGUCUCUCUCCCCCUGGUCUCUCUGUCUCUCUCCCCCUGGUCUCUCUGUCUCUCUCCCCCUGGUCUCUCUGUCUCUCUCCCCCUGGUCUCUCUCCCCCUGGGAGGAACUGAAGUGCAGAAACAAACCUCAUUCGCUGAUCUUCAACCCGAGACGGAGCGCAGAGCCUCUGAGAGGCCAUUUUCAUACUAUACUGUAGUCUUAUAGACGCAUUUGGAAGAAAGACGCUGGCAUGCUUGAGAACAUUUUCAUCAUUUAACACCACCAGCUGUGCUCAACGACGCAAGAACACCAAACCUCCCAAAAGAACCGAGAAACCCCUGAACACACACUGCUGCAGUAACUCCCAGCCGCUUUCAUUCUGCCCGCUUCGCGCUUCUAGCUGAUCAAGACAAACGCCUGUCCGACGAAGAGCGGCAGAGAAGCUGGAGACGAUGAUGAAAUGGACCAGGAGCACUUUUUAUUUCUUGUUUCAGCUGUACAGAUAUCAGGCGCAUUGGGCCCAACCGUUGCCCACGUGUUACGCGUGGCUCUGUCUUUGACUUGUUGGAUG
ensembl:lncRNA